ACCCUGAUGCAGCGAUGCCGCGUGAGUGAAGAAGGCCCUUGGGUUGUAAAGCUCUUUCGUCGGGGAAGAAAAUGACUGUACCCGAAUAAGAAGGUCCGGCUAACUUCGUGCCAGCAGCCGCGGUAAUACGAAGGGACCUAGCGUAGUUCGGAAUUACUGGGCUUAAAGAGCUCGUAGGUGGUUAGAAAAGUUGGUGGUGAAAUCCCAAGGCUUAACCUUGGAACUGCCACCAAAACUUUUUAACUAGAGUAUGAUAGAGGUAAGUGGAAUUUCUAGUGUAGAGGUGAAAUUCGUAGAUAUUAGAAAGAACACCAAUUGCGAAGGCAGCUUUCUGGAUCAUUACUGACACUGAGGAGCGAAAGCAUGGGUAGCGAAGAGGAUUAGAUACCCUCGUAGUCCAUGCUGUAAACGAUGUGUGCUAGAUGUUGGAAACUUUGUUUUCAGUGUCGCAGCAAAAGCGUUAAGCACACCGCCUGGGGAGUACGACCGCAAGGUUAAAACUCAAAUGAAUUGACGGGGACCCGCACAAGCAGUGGAGCAUGUGGUUUAAUUCGAAGAUACGCGCAGAACCUUACCAACACUUGACAUGUUCGUCGCGAGCCUAAGAAAUUAGGUUCUUCAUUUAGUUGGACGAAACACAGGUGCUGCAUGGCUGUCGUCAGCUCGUGUCGUGAGAUGUUGGGUUAAGUCCCGCAACGAGCGCAACCCUUACUUUUAGUUGCCACCAUUAAGUUGAGCACUCUAAAAGAACUGCCAGUGAUAAGCUGGAGGAAGGUGGGGAUGACGUCAAGUCCUCAUGGCCCUUAUGUGUUGGGCUACACACGUGCUACAAUGGUACUUACAAUGAGACGCGAAGAGGCGACUCCAAGCCAAUCU
rnacentral:rRNA from 1 species